GAGAAAAUCAACUAUUAAUACCUAUCUUCAAAUCCAAUCUUGUAAAAUGCCUAUUUCAUCAACUUGGGAGCUUCACUUCAACUUUAAACUGAGAAAAAUUAUUCUUUUUUUUUUUUUCAAUCAAUAGCUAUGUUAUACUGUAUAACACCUAAUAUUUUACAGACCUGUGGCUUGUCAUUACAAUCGUACUUCUUGACCAGAGUAGUUGACCUUCUCAUCACACCUGGGCUCUCUGCACCGGAGGGAAGGUCAUUCAGACCUAGUUGAAAAAAGUUCCUCUACAUGCUUCAUGCACUCCGUCAGUUCACUCUCCUUCUUCCUGCCAAUGUUCUGGACGAGGGAGAACUUGGCGCGGAGUGAGUCAAGGUCUGUGCGGGAUUCCUUGACCAGAGCCCCCAACUCUUCAAUCUGAGGGUUAGUGAUGGCUGCUUCCGCACAAGAGGCUUCCUUCUGCAACUUUUCCUCCAGUUGCUGUUGUGCUGCUUGAAGUUCCAUGCAUUCGUGACUUUUGGCCUCCAGGGAUGAACUCAGUUCCUGCUUGACAGAUUCAACACUUUCUUGGCUCAGUUGCAUGUUCUCCAACUGGUCCCUAGAAAGAAGGAAAAAAGAAGUGUUAAAAUGCUUAAAACAAAUAUUCCCAAAUGGUAAA